UCGGUUUGCAGAGUAAUUUGACAGAAGGUUUGGACACCAUGCCCACUGUAAUUUCCACUCAGGAGCUCAGCCGUGACCUUUCAGGUUCACAGGACACAGACAGCAGCUUGUCUGGAAAGGAGAGGCUUAUUCAGCACAAUGUGAUCCAGCCUGACUUCCUGAAGCACACGUAUAAAGGAAAAAUUGAUGUCCAGGUUGUGUUCCAGAGACCUUUCUAACACAGAGAGAAUUUUCAUAUAUAGUUGUAAGCAGAAUUAUUUCAAAUUAUUUGAAUUACCUUGAAAUUUAUGUCUUUGCUUUAUGUUACCUGUUCCUGGAGCCCCACUGAUUGUUGGAUCCUAUUGCUUUCCCUGAGAGAUGGAGAAUGAGCAUUCAAUGGAGUGGAAGUUAGAUGGGAGUUACAAUUAGUCUUUGAAAGUAUCAAAGGUGUGCAAGCCCAAUUUAUUGCUGUAUUCUGUGGGUUUGUGGGAUUGGGAAUGAGGUCACUGUGGUCUGAUGCUUUGCUCUUUCAGUGAGGGGAUUAGACCUGUGGGGAGUUUUUUAUAGUUGGGGUGAGAUAUGGGGCUGGGGAAUGCACACCCCAUGGAUCCAAUUCACUGCUAAUUCCUGCUGGUUCUGUAGCCUUGGAAAGCUGACAGAUGUGGGCACAGUGCUGUUAAUUGCUUUAUUAUAAAUGGAUCAGUUGUCCAAGAGGAGCUGAAUUUGGCAUUGGAUUUAAGUUUAAGGACUGGAGCCCUAAGAUUUAUCUGCACCUUGAUUUGGUUGCUCACUGUUUUCGGUGAGGGAUCAUUUCUACUCUGUGAGCAGGGCUCUUUGUGGGACAAGGCAAAAGCUGAGGAUGAACCCCACACAGUUAACACAGCGUUUUUGGAUCCAGGUUCUUCCCCACACAGGUGGGAUUAGCUGAAAAAGCUUUGCCUCUCUCUGAACAAGGUAAUUCACCAGCAGGAUUUCCUCAGGCCUUCCGUCCUGAAUCCUUCCUUCCUGGCACAUGGUCUGACAGCAUAUGAGGGAAAUAAAACUCUUGGAAGCUUUAGCCCAGCUGCCUUCUUUAUGGUGAGAACACUAUGCCGGAAAAGCUAAAAUUAUUAUGAUGAUUAUUACUAUUAUUGUUAUGUCUCAUGGAUGCAGGCCUAGGCCCAUUGUCUGAGCCUUGGAGGCUGCCUCAGCCAAGUGCACAGUGAGCUCAGCCAGACCACCCCAGAGCAGGACACAAGCCAGUUCCACAGGGUCUGGCUGGAAGAUCCACACUUUUCCCUGGGCUCAGUCCCUAAGAAAGCCUAAACACAGCAUCUGAGGGGCAGCUAAGCAGGGCUUUAGCUGCACUGGGGAUCUCACAUGAGCAUAAGCAGCCCCAUCUUUAUUGCUCCCUUGGCAGGGAUCACCUGAGGAAGUGGUGUGUGGCUGCCCUCAGCUGGGAGUUAGGGGUGUCAGGAACCAGCUCAGGCACAGGAACAGCCUCUCACCUGGAGAGCAGCUGAGGUGACUGAGCCUGCUCCCUGUACAGGGAUGAAAAACAACGUGAGAGAGAAAAAACCCUAUAAAAUAGUCAAGGAGUCAGAGAAAUUAUCACCCAAUAAAAGUGCAGUAGAAUGGAAUUAUGAAAAAUCCUGAAUAAAUAAAGGAGGAUGUGUCUUAAACCGUGCUGUCAAACUGUGGAUUCUGUCAUUGUCUGAGCCAAGAAACUUGGGUUCAAGGUAUGGUUAUUUCUCUAUGAAUAACAAGGUUUGUGCAUGAUGUGACAUUAAUAAAAUCACACUGGAGAAAAGGAAAGUCUUCAUGUCUUAGUGAUUAAGCAGAGUGACCUUUUGUGGGCUGAAUUACAUUUGUGUAUUACGUAUUUCUAUAUUUAUUUCCAUGGGAACAUCUGGUGCUGGCUCAUCCUGGAAACAGUUUUCUGGACUGGGCUGCCUGUGGGUCCAAUCCAGGCAGGCAGUUCCUGUGCAGCAACUUCUCCUCUGAUGCAAAUUUUCUCCAAAAUUAUUGUUAACAGAUUAACUGGAAAUCUUGUGUUCUGAGGAGCUGCAUUUGCUGCAGGAACAGCUGUGAAAUUUGAUAAAAUCACCAUGGUGUGUUUAAAUGGUUUUAUAGCAGUAGCCCUUCGGUUAACCCUGGAUCAUUUAACAGCUGUCUAAGUCUUUCAAGAGUAAUUAAAAUUAUAUUCUCAGAGAAUUUAAUAUUUUAUACAUGGCUUUUUCAAAGAGGAGCAGUGAAGACAGAGAUGCCAAAACUGAAAGCCUGGCACUGGACACCCAGUUUUGCUCCCUGGUGCAUGAAUUUGCAUACAUAUUUGGAAAGGAGCAAUGCCUGACUUAAAAAUGCAGUUUGCUUCUAACCCCCACCUCCUUGAUGAUGAACUCUGGAAAUAAUAAAAUGUACAGACUAUGGAAACUAUUGACUAGUUUUAAUAGUCCAUUUAAACUUCUCCAGUUACUGUGCUACGAAUGGACUAUGACAACUGGCAGAUGAACAUGUCACUUUAAAGUCCAUCUGACUCUGCAAUAAUUUACCUCCCAGAAGCAUUUUCCCUUACAUAGGUUCAGUUUGGCUAUUUACCUUUUUUUGCUGUUAGAACAUGCUGUUAUUAUAAUUCAUUAAGCCUGUUUAUAUGAUUGCCAAUACUUUUAAGUAUGGAUAAUUGUGAAUGUUUGAGAGUAGUAGUGAAUAACUGACAUUAUGUACAUCAGCCAUAGAGUUAAUUGCCAUUACCUGAUGUAUAAUACAUUCCAUUUAUUUCAACAAUUAACAUGGUAUUUUGUCAUUUGAUUAUUGCCAUAUCUCUUGUUUGACAAGUUAAUAAUAAAAAGGCAAAACAAAGC
ensembl:lncRNA